UAGCAUAUAAAGGAAUAUUCCUUGCUGCUGAGCAUAAGAGAGACAUCUUCUAGGUGUUACCAUACUUGGCAGAGAUUUUCUAUUCUUAGAUUACUUUUUAUUUGAAAGAGCUUCAUUACUUUCUUAAGUAUAAGACUCCCUCUGCAGUUAGUGCUCGCAGCAGCUGCUUGGUUUACUAGUGCAAUGUAAUAGAUGCUAAAUUUACCAUGAGCAAGAUAUUUCCAGUUUGAACCACCUUUGAUUAACUGGCACAACAGUAAUUUAAAAUGUUCAUGGCUGCCUUCCCUCUCAGUGUUUCACCAGCAUUCGUGGGCAUGGAAUUUUAUGUUCUGCAAAGCCCUUGGCGAUGAAAAGAGAAAAUACAGUGCAAUCAAAUACACCCCUGAAAGGACAAGAGACCUCACGAUUCACAGACUGCUCGGAAAUUGGGUGAAUUCAGGUGCUCAUCAGUUUGGAGCCAAUUGGAAGCUGACAAUGCCCUUGUCAAUCAAGCCCCCAAGAGACAUGGAUUGGAUAUAUCUUUUGGUACUUAAGAGGCAGCAUCUUUCAAUCAUAGUGCCAUGGCAUAAGAAGCCAUUAGAAGCCUUUUAUUUUAAGAUGACAUUUAAAGUCUAAAAUGGAACGUUAAUCUCCAGACUGACCAUUCUGAAUCUGACUCCACACUGGAACUGACGAGAGGUGCUGUUUAUUCAAGACUCUUUUAUGAUCCCCAUCAUUACCACGUAUGUCUGGGAAACAUGCUCCUUCUUAGUGUACUGUCAUUCUCACAACACAAGGCACACAGUCACUUCAAGAGGAGCAUUACCUUGUGGUUCAAAUCAGAUACUGAACUUUUCUUGGCGGCAAAUGCAAAUUGUCAUAGCUCCGUUAGCGAAGACUAUUUAUAGCAGAUGUCCCUUGGGCUGUAUUCUGGGCUGCUCCACUGACAUGCAAUGGAACUCAAAAGGAGUCACCCAGUGUCUCUCUGCCUCAGUUUCCCCCAAUCUGAAAAACAGAUUGCCUGGGUUACAAGGUUGCUGUGGGGCUUUAAAAUUAAUGUUUGUAAAGCACUUUGAGAUCACUCAUUUAUAUAUAUAUGUGUGUGUGUGUGUGUGUAAAGGACUAUUUAAAAUAUAAAUCAAAGUAUUAUUAUAAGAAGUCUGUUCCAGAGACCCAUGCAUGGCUUGGAUUCAGUAAAGUAUUUGCUGUUAGAAUCCUUUCUAGUGAAAAAAUGUUUCAACAGCAGCUAGUUAAAUAUUGUGAUUUCAUAUGGCGCCUUUAUUUACAGUGUGUCGUUAUCUUUAACAACAUCUAUUUAUAAUGAUCUUUAUGAGAUAAUAAACAGUGCUAUCCUAUUAACAGUGACCUCAAAGUUCAGCCAAGAGCAUGAGGAAGUCUGCCAAAAUAGCUAGGUGGCCUUUCUUGCAGUCUUGCGAAACACAGCUGACUUUUAUUUUUAUUUUCAGAUCUAGCAAGAGGAAUACCCAAAUAAAUAUAAAUUAGAGGUGUUAAGUGAAAUUUAUGGAUCGUGAAGGUGUGAAUCAGCUGGCACCAGCGAAGUGUGGAUUCAGGUAUAGGCUAGGCAUGCAAACUGCUCUCGGGUGGCUUUGCCAAUACUCUAAUCUUAUCUGUAGCAUCGCAGGCAUUUUAUACCUUUGACGUUGGAAGGAAAAUCUGUUGGCUUCUCUUCUGGAAAGCCUGGUCGAGGGGCAAAGACAGUUCCUGGUGUAGAGGGAGAUGUUUGUAUAGGUGGUUUGGUGGCAGGAUGUAGGUUGAGGAAAUUACUGGUGAUGUAAUUAAUGCCAAGUUUAACGGACUCCUUGCAGAAGAGGAAAGUCAUCGUUCCACUAAUAAUAAUAUGACUACUAGGACAACCACAUGCUGGGGUUCAGAGGACAGAUACAGGCAUUGCCAAAAGGAGAGAUGGACAUCUAUGAUUCCAAAAUGACAUGUGAGUAACAUGUUCUGUGUUGAGCUCUGUUCACUCCUUUGGUUCUUUAACUGUGUCCUCUGGAGCCCUGCAGUCCUCAGCACUCUUCCUAGCAGUCCACAAAAUGAAAGAAUUUUGCACACCAAACGCUAUGGGAGUCUGGAAAGAAAAAAGGAUGCUACAGAGGUUCUUUCAGUGACAAAGUAGACUGCGGAGUGAAAAGCUGGAGAAUGGCUGAUCCAGACAACAGUUCCUGUGUGAAGCGCUGAAAUACGAGCUGACCUUGCUGUGCUCCUGACCACCAUGUAUCAUUCCCACAGCCGCUUUUUUAUGCCAUGGGCAAUAAACAGUCACUUUUAUACUAACAUCUGUAUGAAAAGCUUGCUGCCCUCGUUGACCAAGAAAACACCCAUCCUACUCCACCAGUGCUGUACAGCAGAGAACUGACUGGAUUGUACACCCUGCUCUGAAGCUUUCUUCUGCCUUCACCAGAUUAUUUAUUGCUAUGUUCCACACUGGGAGGAAGAGAAGGUUUUAUGCAAUGUCUUCAUAUUUAAAAACUAAACAGCUUCUAUAAAGGCCUCCUGUCACAUUCUGGGUAUUAAUGUGUUAUGCUUUAAAUGGUAACCCACAGCUAAAUGCAUUCUAUGCUAUGGAUCUGGCUAGCGUAUGUGCUAUGUUGACACAAAUUAUGGCAUUAUAUUGUAUAUGAUACCUGAUAUUAUUUUUAUUAUAAUACCAAGAUCAAGGCCCUAGAAUGACCCAUUCCUGAAGCACUUACAUUUAGAGAUGUGCGAAUAACAGAUUUUUCAGGUCACUGGCAAUUCUGGAAAAAACACGUUUUGGGGUGACCCGAAAAUUAACUUUUUUGGCUAAUCAAAAAUACUAAAUAGUCAUUUGGGGUUGAACGAACCAUUUAAGUUUGACCAAAAAUUAAAUGUUUUGUUUAGAUUUCCAGAAGUUUUUUUUAAAGUUAAAAAAAUAAAUAAAAUUUGAAGAACAUUUCAAAAACAGAGUUGUUUUGAAUCAAAAAGGAUUGACAUAAAACAUUAUUUUUUUUCUUUUAACAUCAACAAUUUGGCAAAACCAACAUGAAUUCACAAAAUUUUCAGUGUUGCUGAAUAUUCAUUUUUCGUUGGACAAAAGUUUCACCUCAAAAAUUUCACUUAGAUUUAGGUUCAAAGGAAAAUCAUUUAUCAUUUUAUUGUAACUAAAUAAGACAAGAUGGUGUUGUUAUCCUAAUUUUACAGAUGAAGAACUGAAUCAAAGAGACAUUAAAUGACUUACCCAUGGUCACACAGGAAGUCCACUGCAGGAGCAGGAAGUGAACCCAGUUAUACCUUUUGCUCUAUUUAGAUUAGCUAAACCUUCACAUCUCCAUCUCCCUCCAGUACUGGGCCCGAAGAGAGCCUUAAAUCCUACAUACCCUGUGUAGCCCACGCUUACUGAAUGUGGAUGUCUACACCACACAUGGAAGUUAGUGAACAGCAAACUUGGCUUUUUAGGUGUACCUGGCAUACCAGCUUACCCAACAGCCUAUUGUAGGAGAGAGAGAGAGCCUGGAACACUGGGCCUGGUGCAAGACCUGAGGCCUGAACCAGAGUUAGGCCCAGGGCCGGAUUUCCAAUUAGGCACAGUAGGCACGUGCCUAGGGGCGCCUGCGUUCUAGGCGUGCCGUACCUCUCUAAAACUGUGCAACAGAAAGAUCAGCUGUAGGCAGGGAGGGGCACUGAAGAUGCUAUGCCUAGCAGCGCAUUAGGUGUAAAUCCGGCCCUGGUUCGGCCAUGUAUUAAAGCCGAUGUUUACAAAUUCACUGUCCAAUAUCUGACCUUGGAAAAAGUAUUGCUAGUGUUGCUAAAACACUGGCACUUCCAAGAAGCAACAGCUUCUGGAUACGUGUGAGAACACACUUUAAAAGAUGAGCUCAGAGACACCAGGUAAGAGGGUGUUUUGCCCAAGACACCCUGAACAUGAUACAAGGGGAGGUCAUGAAACGCAUAAGGUGGUACGUAAGUUGCUUGUCUCAGUCUAUAAGUGCCGGGGUACCUCGCCUUAACCCUUUGUGUGUGGGGGGGACAGCAAAAAUUCCCACAAAAAUUCCCAUUCUUUGCCACAGGGCACUUAUGUGUUAGCGUUCCUGUAUCCAUGGAACCAGGGUGCUAGGACUUCGUGUUGAGGGCAAUAAACCUGGCUGAGUGCUUUUGUCACUGAACCGAGUCUGUGGUCUUUCUGGGUAGUAACCAUCAAGGUCUGCUGAACCAGCUAUCUGCACAGGGCUGGGACAGUAUACAAAGAGAGCACACACACACCUAACUGACAACACAACACCUGUAUGCUCCAGUAUCAACUUGCUCUAACCAGUUUUUGACAGCUAGGAAAGUUUUUAACGUGACUGAGCCAAGCACAUCAUCUCUCUCCUCGCAGUAGACUCAGACUCUGUCAGAGCUGUGUGAAUGAAACAGCUCUGCACAGCCAUUCGGCGGAAAAGCUCCAAACAUCCCAGAGGAAAUGGCAACAUUCAAACACAGGCGAGCCCACAAGUGAAUCACACACACUUGUCCAUCGCUCAUUCUGGUGAAUCAGAAGGAGAUGCUCUGUCGGCUGCCACCCCGCUGAAGCAAAGCCUCUGUGAAGCCCUAACAAUCACUGUGUUGCUAGCAGGGCUGUCUUUCAGGUUAAACAUAAAACUGAAAUUCUGGAUACUUGUAGUUCUUAAAAAUACCUUGGCAGGGUUGUUGUUUUUUUCUACACUUAAGGGGAUUGACCCUGCCUUAGGCCACAGAGCUACUUUUAAACAGGUACAUGGAAAAUAGCAUUGCCAUCUGGCCAUUUUUUGACCAGCCUGGCCACUUUUUCUACUCUCUUGCUGGUUGCUGGACAUGAGAUGUAAUUUGCUGGGGUUUUUCUGUUGCACGCUCCUAGGGGAUUUCCCUUGACAGCUGAGCCUUCUGCGUGGGGGUGGAUGUAGGGGCUCAAAGGCCAGGGGCAUCAUGCUACAGGCUACUGCUGGGGGAGGGCACCCAAGAGAGGAAGAGAAGGGUGUGGCAGAGGAGACAAAUCUAUGCCCUCCCACUCUUAAAAAGGCACUCCUACAGUUCCUGAAUCACACUGACCUGGCCCAUUUUCAGUUUGAGUGCAAUCUCCCUACCUACAAUUCCAACCACAGCAUUCACUAGAUAAGGGCUCUGUCUUCGUUUUUAAUUCCAAACUAUUUGUGGAAUAAUGCGGUUAGCUCUGAACACCUGGUUCAUUUCACCCCAGAAAUGGCUGAAUUUUGGUAGCUGGUGAAAUAAGACCUGCAUAUGUAGAUAGCUAGAUAGCAAGGUUUGUACAGUGCUUUGGCAUCCUUUGGAAUAGAAGUUGCUAAGUUAUUUGAUAUUUUUUAUCAUGCAGCUUUGAGGUGUAUUUUUGAUUCUGGCCAAUCACUUGGCCCUUCUAUAUGUUUCCCUGGUCCGAAUUCAUAUCGCAGCAUAACAACUUGGACUUCGCUCAAGGAAAGUGAAGGAGGGAAAAAAAUCACACCCAAGUUUUUUCUGUAGAGAAAGCAAAAUUAUGUUUGCUGUAACAUCAGAAAUCCAAUGGUGGCAGGGUCAGUAGCUCAAUCCAUUCCUGCUAUGAAUAACAAUCUGAAAAAAUGAAUGCGUCAACCUCUUCAGGCCUGAGCUAUCUCAAAGCCCUUUGAUCCCUCAGUUCAUGACUGCUGGCCAUCAAAAGUAUUUUCUCUCCAUAUUUUCCCCCAACAGGUUCAAAGGAAAAUCAAUUAAAUUAUUAAAACUUGAAUUGCUUUCCUGUAUGAAAUUAUCACCUAUAAAAAGAUACCUUUAAUUGGGGACUGUAAAGAUCUAAAUGACCUCCCCUCACAAAUCUCUGAAAUGCCCUUGCUAAAUCUGACCUGAAGCAUGAAUCCAUUUGGGGGUGAGGGUAAUUUUAAUGUGACUGAAAUUAUAGUUUCAUUUUCUUCCCAGUGGUAUCUAUUUAUUUAUUUUAUUUUUUACAACAGUCCAGCUGAAGGCUAACACUUGACUUUAAUGACUGCUGAGGAAAGCAUAUUAGUGGGGUGAUAUAUUGUUUUUCUUUACUUAACAGCUGUGCUUUCCCUAGUUCAAAAGAAAAUGAGGUCUCAAGUAGAGAAGAGUGUUAUUAAGAAAAUACAAGUUGACUUCAGAACAACGGUAUCCUGAAGGCUGCUUUUCAGGUCACAGAGCAAGAGAGGGGCUGGGGAGAUGCAAAUGAUCUACCCUGGAAUAAAGGGGUUAACGGCUAAAUACAGUCCUUGAUCCAUAUGCUGAAUUCCCUCUGGUAUCUAUGAGAGUUAGUUCAGCAUGAAUGGCUAGCAGCACUGAGGAUCUGCUUCUGAAUCACUGAAGAUAAUGAGACUUUUACCAUUGAUCUCAAUGGGAGCUAGAUGAGGGCAUAAGUCUCUACAGUUUGAAAUUAUCCCUCAGUCUCACCUAUUACCGCUAUUUUGCACAUAACUGUAUAUUUUGAGAGUCAAAGAUUAAUAGAGCUGAAGGCCAGAAGGGACCAUUUUGAUCCUCUAGCCUGAGCCACAGAAUCCAAAGAACCUCACCCAAUUAUCUCUGCAUCAGGACAAGAACUUCUGAUUGAGCUGUAGCAUAUCUUUUAGAAAGACAUGCAGGCCUCAUUUACAAUGAUGGAGAAUCCACCACAACCCUCAGUAAGUUGUGAAUCUUGGUUGUAAGGAAAAGAGAAACUCAGCAUGUAUAAUACUGUAGGUCAGACUUUAUAUAAAUGUUCAAUUUCUAAAUAGUUUCUAAAGGGCGAAUAAAUACGUGUUUCUUUAUUUGUAUUAAACAGAUGUUUUAAUAAAUGGUAUAUCAAUGGUUAUCGAUUGUUAUGGAGUCCAGCAAGCUUGGCUUAUAACCAUCUAUAAUACUGUAAUGAUCAGUGCAGACAACAGCUCCACCAAUAGGUAGUGCAGUAUCUUUAUCUUUAGGAUAAGUUGUUGUCUUGAUAUAAUGUUUUGUUGUGAUUGGUUGGGUUGAAAGUACUAGGAGAAAGUUAAACCCUACCUGAGUGUGCUGGAGUUGUUACCUUUUGUGUUCCGAAUACCUUGUAAUGAUGUGCUUAUAACUCUUACAACACG